rnacentral:lncRNA from 1 species
UGGAGAGAGACUUACUCUGCAGCAAAAGCAAAGCAUCAAAUAAAACAUUUCUGUGAAAGACCUGGCAAGCGGGCAUGUCAGCUCUCUGAAGACGUCCUCUUGUUCAGCAAAGUGAAAUAGUCUAUAGAAAUAGGGCUGGAACAAAGGGCCCUGGUGGCUUUGUCCUGGAUUCCCUAUGAAUGGUCCUGUGCUAGGGGCUAGGAAGACAAAGAGAAACAGAGUCACAUCCUCCCACAAAAAUCCAUGAGAUGUCGGAGAGCCGAACUUGUAAACAGCCAUCAUCAACACAAAGAAGGAUGCACUGAUGCUCUCUAGAGGCUCACAGGAAAUGAUUCAUGGGCAUAGAGGUGUGCAAUUUGCUUCCUGCCCCAGCCCUGACCCUGAGAUGCAGCAUGGAGGGAGUAGAGGGGUGGGGUUUGCGAAGUCACUUCCAGUCAUCGUGGGACCUUUAUGGAAACCUGGGCUCCACUCCACAGGAUGAGUCUCAACUGGAACCCUUGCCCAUUGGGCUCACUGUUCCAAUCUAAAGGGCAGGCUUUCCACUACUCUUUGGGACUUGUAGUUUGUGGGUUUUUUUCACAUGCACAUCAUCUUACUUACAGUUCCCCAAGAAUAAAAGCUUUCCAUCUCAAUUCUGGGCACUCUAAGUUUACCUGUAUUUCCUUUUCACUUUAAACAAAGGUAGUCAUAGGAGCCCGUCAUUUCCCAUGACUCAGGGAAUUGAGUUCAUGUUGCUUGCCUUGUGAGUGCUUACAGCCUGUAUGUCAUAGCAUUUAGAAAUGUCACUGAACCUAGGUUCGGCUGCUCGCUCCUUGAGAGCCAAACUGGAGACACAAGAGUUGGUCGGAGGAGAAGUAGGUUUAUGAGGAGCUGGCAACCUGAGGAGAUGGUGGGCUAGUGUCACAAAGACCAUCUCGAAUUUCUCAGGCUGGCCAGGGGUGUUAUGCGAGGGGGAGUCUGGGGGAAUUAUGUACAAGAGCUGAAUACAUGCUGGUCAGUCUGUCUAGUCUCAAUGACUGUCUUGAAUAAUGGGCCACCUGGUGGUCUGGCUGGCAUUAGCUUGAUUGCAACAGGAAUACAGAUGAACGGCUCAGCCUUCUUUCCAGAGUGGGAUGUUCUGCAACCUGGAUUCCAUGCUUAGCGUUUCAGGUCAGUCCCUGCAGUUCUUUAAGCAAAG